UGUCAUACCGAAGUCGAAAUAUUGAUUUCCUUUGUACUUUUAAAUCCUUAGGACGAUACUUUUGGAACGGAUCUCUUACAUUCUUUUUUUCUUUUGACGCUAAAAAUUCACCAUAUUAGCUAUCACACUAGCAAUUUCUUCUGACUUACCACUUGGACCAAGAAUGGUAGAAUAGGUCAAAGGAAGGACACAGCAGGAAGUCCCCACCAGCAAAAAGACAGGGAAAAAAAUACCCUGCUCGUCGUACUUGUACUCAGACGACAUUGCAAGUUGUUUGGUAAAGGCAGGGUUCACUAGGACAAACAAAGAUCAUAUAACGUAAUUUGUAGAGUCUCCUUAAGCAAUAUACUAGGCUGCUAAAAUGAAAUAUUACGGGUUUUACCAAAAUAUAUUUGAGAUUUUUUAUUUUUACAUGAAUUCAAUUAUCAGGAUGUUCAAUUUUUAAGAAAUCUUUAACAAACCGCUCUGUUAAAUGAUAUGUAUUAUCAACACAAAUCAGAACACCCUUUAUAAACUAAAGUACACAAGAAGAAAAGUCUAUAAACAAUAAAUAAUUACACUAUAUAAAAACAGUUGAGGUGUAACUUAAGAGACGCGAUAUCUGGUUUUUUUAAAAAAAAUUUAAAAACUUAAAUUCGCUUUGUGUCAAUGAUAAUUUUACCAAUCUCACCAGCUUUUAAAGGUCUUUUUUUGGCUGUAUCCGACUAAAACAUAAACAUAUAUAUUUGGGCAUCCUAAAUAUUGACGCACAGGUAUAGACAGUUACAAAGAACUUUAUAGAGAAUAAAAUUUCCUUCAUAAAAUAACAUAGUGCCAACAAUCCUUGGAGGAACAAAAAAAGAUAAAACACCGUUUUUUAACAAGUCUGAGGAAGGUGAACGCAAGUUUGUUCAAGAUAAUAGCAUCCAGAUAAAGUGGCUACAUGCUCAUUGUCGAUAAAAACCUCGGCUGUUAUAUGCUGCAACCAGACAAAGACGAAAGGGAGACCAGCCCAGAUUGAAACGAUAUCUUUAGCCCACUUGGGGAAAAUUUUUAGAACAUCAGUUAUACUAUCCAACUCUUCUAAUUCAGCAGAAAGUUCUACACGAACUGGUUUCCCAUCAAAAGUUUGUCCAGACAAAAUCCGAUGAAUCUGCUCGGGUAAUAAAUAACGAAUCCCAUCAACUUGAGCCGCUCCCUUAGUAGAAUAUUCAUUGUCAAGCAAAACAGCGAUCAACUUCCCGUCCAAAGUUAGACUCGCUUGAGACCGAAAAGGUUGUGAAGGGUCACGAGGAAAAUAGUGAAGGCAGGUCAGUAUGCUUUUUUUAGAUUUAUCAAACAAAAUACUAUUUUGCCAAGUAUGCCCAAGGUUGGUAAAUUUCUCUCGAAAAAACAAUGCACCAACAUAAACAGCUACACCAGUUAGCUUUUUCUCCCUACCAUGCGCAGUAACAGUGCCUUCUACAGUGUUAAUGGGAAAUAUUUUAUGUUCCAUCCUGCUCGAAGAAUCAUUUUGGCCAAAAUCAACAAGGGAGAAACCACUGUCCUCGGUUUUGAUUUUUAGAUCGUAAACACCUUCGAUAACUAUAUGCCAUUCUCGGGUAGAAGAAUUAAAAUGCAUAAAAUGCUUUUGAACAUCAACACUAUAUCGAUCUUUGGAGAUCUUCAUGCUCCUGUAUAAAUAAGUAGAGCUGUUUACAAUUGGCUCUACAUUUUUUUCCGUCUUUGCUGGAUAAUAAGUCCACCCCAAUGGUGUAACUUUUACCAGUAAACCAAGAUUUCCGUAAGCAAUUUGAAGAUAGCCAAAUGAACCAUCAUCAAAGCACAUGUAAAACGAUUUAUAUUGAGUUGUUAAAUGCGAUCUCGACAAAUCCCAGGUUAGGUCUUUGCAAGAAAUAAGAUCAUAUUUUUCAGCACGACUGCUAUAUGAACUAGACAUAACGUUUUAAAAAUAAAAAUAAAAAAAGGAAAGCUUAAAAAAAAUAGAUUGAGGUAACGUUUUAGUCAACAGCAAAGGCCUGAUCGAAUAAUUUCAAACCUUACACCUAUGUAUAUAUAUCCUUUUUAUGACGGUUAUUUGCAAUGAACCGAAUGAAUUAAAGCUCCUAAAAUAAAAAAAUGGUUGAUAUGAGAAAAGAAAUCAAAACAGUUUGUACAUCCAAAUAUAGCAAAAUUUAGAGAAAUACGAAAUUAGACAACUUUAAACCUUGCAUAGCUGGACGGAUCACACCUAUUUAUGAGAUUUUUUGUUUAGCGAACGACUUUAAAAUUGAAAAUCACCUUAUAAGUUGAUUUCAAUUCACUGCGCCUUGGUGGUGGGUUGAUUGAUCUGUUUGUUCCAAAACUUUCGAAACAACAUGCGUUUUCUCCAGUAUGAUCAAAAUUGACCAAAUCAAUAUGUAGAAUAUACGUAGGUCAGACAAAAUUUGCCGAGGCUUUCUACUCAACGAAAUACUGUCUAAAUAAACAUUUUUUAUAUAAUUUGUCAAUAAACUAUAAUAGAGUUAUAUCAAACUGGAUAUUCUUCUAUAGAGUCAUAUAUUAUCUGAAUAAGAUACGAU